GACGAACGCUGGCGGCGUGCUUAACACAUGCAAGUCGAACGCUGAAGCUUGGUGCUUGCACUGGGUGGGUGAGUGGCGCACGGGUGAGUAAUACGUGAGUAACCUGCCCUUGACUCUGGGAUAAGCCUGGGAAACUGGGUCUAAUACUGGAUACGACAUGUCACCGCAUGGUGGUGUGUGGAAAGGGUUUUGCUGGUUUUGGAUGGGCUCACGGCCUAUCAGCUUGUUGGUGGGGUAAUGGCUCACCAAGGCGACGACGGGUAGCCGGCCUGAGAGGGUGACCGGCCACACUGGGACUGAGACACGGCCCAGACUCCUACGGGAGGCAGCAGUGGGGAAUAUUGCACAAUGGGCGGAAGCCUGAUGCAGCGACGCCGCGUGAGGGAUGACGGCCUUCGGGUUGUAAACCUCUUUCAGCAGGGAAGAAGCGAAAGUGACGGUACGUGCAGAAGAAGCGCCGGCUAACUACGUG
rnacentral:rRNA from 1 species